rnacentral:pre_miRNA from 1 species
UAGGUUUGUCCUAAGUAAAACUUGUUUAAGUUUGACCAACUCUAUAGAAAGAUGCACUAAGAUCUACAACACCAAAUACACAUAAUACGAAAGCAUAUUUCAUGAAGAAUCUCAUGAGACUAAUUUGGUGUUCUAGAUGCUAAUAUAUUUUUCUAUAGAAUUGGCCAAACUUAAACAAAUUUGACUUAGGACAAACCCGG